CUAGCGACUUCAGAGUUUGAUCCUGGCUCAGGAUGAACGCUGGCGGCGUGCUUAACACAUGCAAGUCGAACGAUUAAACCGGCUUCGGCCGGAUAUAGAGUGGCGAACGGGUGAGUAACACGUGACCAACCUGCCCCAUACUUCGGGAUAACUCAGGGAAACUUGUGCUAAUACCGGAUACUCCGAUUUGAUCGCAUGGUCUUUUCGGGAAAGCCUUUACGGUAUGGGAUGGGGUCGCGGCCCAUUAGGUAGACGGCGGGGUAACGGCCCACCGUGCCAAUGAUGGGUAGCCGAGCUGAGAGGCUGAUCGGCCACAUUGGGACUGAGAUACGGCCCAG
rnacentral:rRNA from 1 species